rnacentral:rRNA from 1 species
AACGAACGCUGGCGGCAGGCUUAACACAUGCAAGUCGAGCGCCCCGCAAGGGGAGCGGCAGACGGGUGAGUAACGCGUGGGAAUCUACCUAGCUCUACGGAAUAACCCAGGGAAACUUGGACUAAUACCGUAUACGUCCUUCGGGAGAAAGAUUUAUCGGAGUUAGAUGAGCCCGCGUUGGAUUAGCUAGUUGGUGGGGUAAUGGCCUACCAAGGCGACGAUCCAUAGCUGGUCUGAGAGGAUGAUCAGCCACGCUGGGACUGAGACACGGCCCAGACUCCUACGGGAGGCAGCAGUGGGGAAUAUUGGACAAUGGGCGCAAGCCUGAUCCAGCCAUGCCGCGUGAGUGAUGAAGGCCCUAGGGUUGUAAAGCUCUUUCACCGGUGAAGAUAAUGACGGUAACCGGAGAAGAAGCCCCGGCUAACUUCGUGCCAGCCGCCGCCGUAAUAC